rnacentral:rRNA from 1 species
AUUGAACGCUGGCGGCAGGCCUAACACAUGCAAGUCGAACGAGUGGCGGACGGGUGAGUAAUGUCUGGGAAACUGCCUGAUGGAGGGGGAUAACUACUGGAAACGGUAGCUAAUACCGCAUACCAUCAGAUGUGCCCAGAUGGGAUUAGCUUGUUGGUGGGGUAACGGCUCACCAAGGCGACGAUCCCUAGCUGGUCUGAGAGGAUGACAAGGAAAAGGGGAACUGAGACAAGGUCCAGACUCAGACGGAAGGAAGCAGGGGGGAAUAUUGAACAAUGGGGGAAAGCCGGAUGCAGCCAUGCCGGGUGUAUGAAGAAGGCCUUGGGGUUGGAAAGUACUUUCAGCGGGGAGGGGUUACCCGAAGAAGAAGCACCGGCAAACUCAGGGACAGCAGCCGCGGUAAUAC